GAACUGCGAUAAGUAAUGUGAAUUGCAGAAUUCAGUGAAUCAUCGAGUCUUUGAACGCACAUUGCGCCCCCUGGCAUUCCGGGGGGCAUGCCUGUCCGAGCGUCAUUGCUGCCCUUCAAGCCCGGCUUGUGUGUUGGGUCGUCGUCCCCUCCGGGGGACGGGCCCGAAAGGCAGCGGCGGCACCGCGUCCGGUCCUCGAGCGUAUGGGGCUUUGUCACCCGCUCGAUAAGGGCCGGCCGGGCGCCAGCCGGCGUCUCCAACCUUUUUUUCUCAGGUUGACCUCGGAUCAGGUAGGGAUACCCGCUGAACUUAAGC
rnacentral:misc_RNA from 1 species